UACGGAGGAUCCGAGCGUUAUCCGGAUUUAUUGGGUUUAAAGGGAGCGUAGGUGGAUUGUUAAGUCAGUUGUGAAAGGCCGGGGCUCAACCCCGGGACUGCAUUGGAAACUGUAAAGCUAGAGUGCCGGAGAGGUAAGCGGAAUUCCUAGUGUAGCGGUGAAAUGCGUAGAUAUUAGGAGGAACACCAGUGGCGAAGGCGGCUUACUGGACGGCAACUGACGCUGAGGCUCGAAAGCGUGGGGAGCAAACAGG
rnacentral:rRNA from 1 species